CUUUUAAUGAGAGUUUGAUCCUGGCUCAGGACGAACGCUGGCGGCGUGCCUAAUACAUGCAAGUAGAACGC
rnacentral:rRNA from 2 species